rnacentral:lncRNA from 1 species
AGGGAAUAGUCAAUCAAAUUAAAUCGAUUAUGAUAAAUUGAGUUAUAUACCAAGAAAGUUCCACUUCAACUCAAACGAUCUUAAUCAAAUAGAACAACUUCAUAAUAGAAUAGAUGGUGUAAUUAAUAUUUUUAAUAAUAAUGUAUUGGACAUCACCCCCAAGAAUACAGUGUACAUUUUCAAUAUGUGAUUUUUGAGAAUUCUCAACUAUAAAUCGAUAUAUUUUUUCAUGCAGCCAAUGCUUGGUUUAAACUGACAUACCUUUACUAUCCAAUCCACUUUUGAUUGAAGAGAUGGUUUCUCUAAGGCAGACAUGAAAGUGAAGAGGUUGCAAGAUCCCCGAGUCCUAGCAGCAAAGAAAUUAUAAAUCAAUCAGCUUUAAGCCUUUCAUCCUAUCAAAUUAAGCAUAAAUAAUUUUUAAUAAACUAAUAGAUCUGCCAAUAAAUAGAGAAAAUCUCAAUUAACUGAGAACUUCCAUUUAAUAAGGAAUUAAGGAUGGUCAUACAUUGUAUUAACCAUAUUUGUGAGGUUGGUCAAUACAUUAAUGAAAGAUGAUGAACAAUAAUAAUAAAGUACAGACAUGAACACCAUUGUAUACGUGGUUCAGCAAUUGUGCCUACAUCCACGGAGAGGGAGAAAGAAGUUUAUUAUAGUAGUGGUGAUACAAAAUGGGAGCUCGAUUAUGAGGAGAGCUCGAGAGAGAUGAGACCUGAGAGGUGAGGUCUCAUCAUGAGAGAUUGGGGAGGUCGUUGAUAUUGAGACCUCACCAUGAGAUAGUGUUGAGAGCAUUAGACUAUCAGAACCUCCCUAGAAUGAGUAGCUUGCCUUCAUAUUUAUAGGCUACAAUGUAACUCCCUUCCUAGCAUUUAUUGAGGUAAUGAUGAGAGAAUAUCUUUGUAGUAAUUGGCUUUAACUUUGUAACUUGUGCCCUCAAGAGAGAGCCCAUUAGAUGAUGACAUGUGGCACCAUGAUGGACGGUAGAGAUGGUGCCACAUGUAUGUUGUACCCCUACAUACAUUAAACCAAUUAUAUACUCUAAAUUAAUAUUUUAUCUAUUGUCAAUGGUGUAAAUAUAGCUGUCAGUAGCUCUUCUAACAACAUAUUUGCAUCAGUCUAUUAAUUGAUUAUUUUUAGUGUGAUUGGCCACUUUGGUGACUUGGGUUGUAUUGAACAUGCAUGACCUGAUGAGAAACACUACUAUCUUUGUCAACCUAACCCUAUUUAAAGAAGAAAAAAUAAGGAGAUAGUCGAUAUUGAUCUCUUCACAUAACUCAUAGAUAAGUAAAUGUGCAUUUACUUAGAGGUAACUGCAACAUGUAUACCACUAAUCAGUUUAAGCAAUUAUUAGGCAUCAUUCUAUAGAAAAAUAGAAAUAGAUGUAUAUAUGCAGCGAUGAACAAAAAAUAUUUGAGCAUUUAGAUUUGCAUUGACAAUUUACCCUCGUGUGGAAAAAAGUGUUAUAGAUGAGUGCAAGAACUUGAUGCAUAAUGAAAAACCAUAUCCACUUUUCAUCCAACAAUGCUUUUCAGUUUUCACCACCCACUCAAAAGAAAAAAAAGUUCUCAUUUCAAGAUCACUACAUCUGCACCCUGUUGAAAAAUCUGAUCAAGCAUGUUGGGCAUUCCUUCACUCACCAAACCAUUUAAACUGGAAAGGCCAAAAAAAAAUAUCAAAGAGAAACAGAAGAGAAAUAGCACCCAAAUAAAAAAAAGGCUGUGUGUAUUCUCACUGGUAGAAGCAACUGACCUCGUAUUCAACGACAAAGAAGACAAUGUACCCGGUGAAGCCACUAUACUCGCAGGCCCUACAGCAGAGGAGAAUAACGUCUCCAACUCAUAAGCAUCCUCAAACGCAGCUGUAUUGACCAAAACCGACAUAUCUACAUCUCCCUCAUUUAACAUAUCCACAUCCCUGGGAUCAUCCAAACUAACCAAAUAACACCCGAACAAAACA